GCAAACUUGGUCAUUUAGAGGAAGUAAAAGUCGUAACAAGGUUUCCGUAGGUGAACCUGCGGAAGGAUCAUUAUUGAAUAACUUGCCUUGAUGGGUUGUUGCUGGCCUCUCGAGGCAUGUGCACGCCUGUCUUGACUCUAUUCAUCCACCUGUGCACCUAUUGUAGUUCUGUUACUCACCGUUGGAGGUCAAGAAAAAGCGAGCUACUGUUCAGUUGAAACACACUGGAAUUGAGAACUGCUUUCCUGGCUUUUCUCUGCUGGCUCUGCAAAAUUGUACUCCUUUGAGGAUAGGACUAUGUCUUUUAACAUAAACCAUGUAGUAUGUUGCCAGAAUGUAUUCAAUGGGCCUCUGUGCCUAUAAAUUCAUAUACAACUUUCAGCAACGGAUCUCUUGGCUCUCGCAUCGAUGAAAACGCAGC
rnacentral:misc_RNA from 1 species